rnacentral:rRNA from 1 species
UAUAGGACUACAAUGUGGACUUAAAUAUGAUAGUGGAACAGGUUUGGAAAGGCCGAUCACAGAGGGUGAUAAUCCCGUACACGACAUCAGAUUUAUACCUAGUAGUAUCCUGAGUACUGCGGGGUCGGAGACGCCCUGUAGGAAUUUGCCGGCACCAUCCGGUAAGGCUAAAUACUCCUAAGAGACCGAUAGUGAACUAGUACUGUGAAGGAAAGGUGAAAAGAACCGCGAACAGCGGAGUGAAAUAGAACCUGAAACCAUACGCUUACAAGCGGUCGGAGCCCUCAAGUGGGGUGACGGCGUGCCUUUUGCAUAAUGAGCCUACGAGUUGCUCUUUACUGGCAAGGUUAAGUCCUUCAGGGACGUAAACCGAAGCGAAAGCGAGUCUGAAUAGGGCGCAUAGUCAGUAGAGGCAGACGCGAAACCUUGUGAUCUACCCAUGGCCAGGAUGAAGUUCCGUUAACCCGGAAUGGAGGUCCGAACCGAUAAGCGUUGAAAAGCUUCCGGAUGAGCUGUGGGUAGGGGUGAAAGGCUAAUCAAACUGGGAAAUAGCUCGUACUCCCCGAAAUGCCUUUAGGGGCAGCGUAGAGAUUGAGUCUUAUAGAGGUAGAGCUACUGAUUGGAUGCGGGGGAAGCGAUUCCUACCAAGUCCUGACAAACUCCGAAUGCUAUAAGAUAUGUUCUGCAGUGAGCCCACGGGUGCUAAGGUCCGUGGACGAGAGAGGGAGAACUCAGACCAACAGCUAAGGUCCCUAAAUCUAUACUAAGUUGAUAUAACGUGGUCCGAUUGCAUUGACAGCCAGGAUGUUUGCUUGGAAGCAGCCAUUCAUUUAAAGAGUGCGUAACAGCUCACUGGUCGAGCGAUUGGGCGUGGAUGAUACUCGGGCAUCAAGACUAGUACCGAAGCUUUGGACCCCGCAGCAAUGCGUGGGUGGUAGGGGAGCAUUCUAACAUCGUUGAAGGAGUUGCGUAAGCGCUACUGGAGAGGUUAGAAAAGCAAAUGUAGGCAUAAGUAACGAUAAAAUAGGCGAGAAACCUAUUCGCCAAUAGUCUAAGGUUUCCUGAACAACGAUAAUCGGUUCAGGGUUAGUCGGGUCCUAAGGUGAAGCCGAACGGCGUAAUCGAUGGACAACUGGUUAAUAUUCCAGUACUAACACCACUGCGAUGGAGAGACGAAAAAACGUAAAUGCUACGCGCGGACGGAAGUGCGCGUUUAAGCCCGUAGGGUUACACUUGGUAGGCAAAUCCGCCAGGUGUCUGAAAGGUGAAAGUACCCUGAGUCGUCAGACAAGGGGAUAAGCAUCCAAGUAUGUUUCCGAGAAAAACUUCUAAGCUUCAGGUGAGUGUUACCCGUACCGCAAACCGACACAGGUAGACAAGUAGAAUAUACUAAGGCGCUCGAGUGAUCCGUGGCUAAGGAACUAGGCAAAUUGACCCCGUAACUUCGGGAAAAGGGGUUCCCGACGCAAGUCGGGACGCAGAGAAAUGGCGGUGGCGACUGUUUAACAAAAACACAGGGCUUUGCAAAAACGAAAGUUGAAGUAUAAGGCCUGACACCUGCCCGGUGCUGGAAGGUUAAGAGGAGAGGUCAUCGCAAGAGAAGCUUUGAAUCGAAGCCCCAGUAAACGGCGGCCGUAACUAUAACGGUCCUAAGGUAGCGAAAUUCCUUGUCGGGUAAGUUCCGACCUGCACGAAUGGUGUAACGAUCUCCGCUCUGUCUCAGCCACGAGCUCGGUGAAAUUGUGGUAUCAGUGAAGACGCUGAUUACCCGCAACGGGACGGAAAGACCCCAUGCACCUUUACUAUAGCUUAACAUUGACUCUGGAUAAUUGAUGUGUAGGAUAGGUGGGAGACUAUGAAGUGGUGGCGCCAGCCAUCAUGGAGUCAACGUUGAAAUACCACCCUUUAAUUAUUUGGCGUCUAACUCCGAAAGGAGGACAUUGUUUGGUGGGUAGUUUGACUGGGGUGGUCGCCUCCGAAAGGGUAUCGGAGGCUUUCAAAGGUUCGCUCA